AAGCCGUUUCCCGAGGUUCUUAACUCAGCUUCGACAACGAAAUGAAAUGCAAAUUUAAACACGUUCCCGCGCGAUUCUAUCGACCCCGAGUCGACGGAAAGCCGGAGUAACAGAGACCUCGAAACACCUCGAUCGAGAAAACUUUCACGACCACCGUGGAAAUCGUUUGGAACGGUAAUCCGGACAAUCUACAUUUAUCAAUCGCAGCUUGUUUUUAACACCUUUGCGAGAGGAAGGGCUGACCUGUUUAUGCGAGCUUCUUUUAAAAUUCAAGAGUUCCUUUCACCUUCUAAUCCGAAACUAAUUGUCGUUCAAUUACAAGUUAGCUGAUAAAAGGUUGAAGCGAAUUUCAAACGAGCCGCAACAACAUGUGUGGGUUAGUUUUCCCGAGUUGUCCCUCUGCUCUCGUUUUAUGUAUCCCCUUAGACCGCUUGCAGCCGGAGGAUAUUAAUAUUCCAGUCAAAGAGGGAAGCUCGCGUGCCAUGGGGUCACUAUGGACUUCCACAGUCACGGUGGCCGAUUGCCAUCCUUGGAAUAUCCUGUGUGUCCCGGUGGAACGAAGCAUCGUCGAAUAACCGAUGCAAACACACACAAAUCCUCCUCUGCUGUCCAAAGAUCGAAAUUCUCGCAAGAUUCAAAGUAUCGUAAGCAUAAAUCCUAAGUCGAAUCUGUUUUUCGAUCUGCUUAGGCUUCUUGCAAAGGAAAUGGGAAUGGGGAAUUUCCUAUGAACGUGUUGUGCAACAUUUAAGACCUAUGGGAACCAACGAGUUCGGAACAGAUAUUUUCCAUUCACUUUUUCUAUCUUUAGUCUCAUACAAUCAUUUUUUAGCAAGGAAACUAUAUCAUCAACUGUAAACUCUAUAAACUUUCAAUCAAAAUAUUUUUUUAAAUUCCAAUUAUAAUUUCAGACCUACUUAAAUAUAUUAGAUAUGCAAAUUAAUUUGGUACUUUUCCUUUUCUUUAAAUUGAAGAUUUAUUUCUUAAUAGUCAUAGUAACUUUAAUUAUUGGAAUAAUCGUUAUCGUGUUUGAAUUCUCGUGCCACUUUUCAAUUCCACAGCAGCGCGGGAAAGUAUUCAAAUUUAAAUUAGCGAUUAAGAAGACGUAAUACUAAAGACACUGAAUUAAUUUGCACACCUAAUAAAUACAAAACACUAUGUAUAUUAAGUUUGUACUUUUCGUUUAA